rnacentral:snRNA from 1 species
GUGCUCAUUUCAGCAGCACAUAUACUAAAAUUGGAGUGAUGCAGAGAAGAUUAGCAUCUUUCCUGAGCAUGGAUGACACACAAAUUCAUGAAGCAUUCCAAAAGAUA